rnacentral:rRNA from 1 species
AGAGUUUGAUCCUGGCUCAGGAUGAACGCUGACAGAAUGCUUAACACAUGCAAGUCGACUGGAAUUCACCUUCGGGUGAUAGUACGGUGGCGGACGGGUGAGUAACGCGUAAAGAACUUGCCCUCUAGACUGGGACAACUGUUGGAAACGACAGCUAAUACCGGAUAUUAUGGAACUGCGGCAUCGUGGAACUAUGAAAGGCUAUAUGCGCUAGAGGAGAGCUUUGCGUCCCAUUAGUUAGUUGGUAGGGUAAUGGCCUACCAAGACGAUGAUGGGUAGCCGGCCUGAGAGGGUGAUCGGCCACAAGGGGACUGAGACACGGCCCUUACUCCUACGGGAGGCAGCAGUGGGGAAUAUUGGACAAUGGACUAAAAGUCUGAUCCAGCAAUUCUGUGUGCACGAUGAAGGUUUUCGGAUCGUAAAGUGCUUUCAGGUGGGAAGAAGAAAGUGACGGUACCACCAGAAGAGG